GUUAGCUAUCACUGGCCACACAGAGAGCCUGUGCUAUUCAUGAUGCAGGGGUAGUUCACUGGUAAAAUGUUUGUUUUGCAAUCACGAGGAAAAACCCACAUUUUAAAACAAGCCACACUUGGUGGUGUAUCCUUGUAAUCCAGCACUGGGGACAUGGAGACAGACAGAUUCAGCAUUAUGGGGAAUCUCCAGGUCAAUAAGAGACUCUGCCUCAAAAUAGUUGUAUUUUCCAGACCUGGAGCUGCCUACGGGAGGACGAGGACUGAUUCUUUGGCCUUUGAAAUUCUCCAAGAUCGUGAAGGUCCAGACACCUGACCCACAUCGUUGUCAUCACCCUAAGACAGAGAUAAGAGGCAAGGAGCAGAACCCUGGAAGAACCCAGCACUGAAGCCGAUGUCUUAGCAGUGCACAGGACAGAAAGCAGACGUGGAAGAGUCGAAAGAGGUGUGAGCUGAGGGUUGCAGAGGGGCCUAACAGUGAGGUGUGGGGCUCAGAGAGGUCUGCAUGAAAGUGUGACUACAGGUGUGAGAGAGCAAUCUCACUCUAGUUCACCAAUGAAGUAUUAUUGAGGACCGACUGCUCUAGGCAAGCACUGGGCUCCAGGCUGCAGCUACAAUGGAGAGUUCGACAUGGUUCCAGGGGAAAAUUUUUCCAUGGGAAGAGCUUCUUACAUGGUUCUAUAUGGCACUGGGAGUCAGUGACAAGGACAAGAACACAGGGGCUACAGAGGAAAGAAUGGCAGGUGGUGAUAGCCCAGUCAGACCUGUAGGCUGAACAGAGGAGUCAGUGUGGCCAGAGGAGGAAAAAGUAUAAAAGAGGGGGCCUUGGAAGAUCCAGGGACACUGGGCUUAACUAUGGGAGCUGGAGUUCCCAGAAGCCUGUGGCUACCAGGUCUGGCAUGGACACAGCAGGACCCAGCCUUUGGAACCUUCUUUCUACAGGUGACAUAUACUCAGCACUCAGCUAGGCACAGAAGAGGGAAGUCAUGCCCCAACGAUGACAGCAUAAAAAAGAAAAAACCCACAGGAAUGGCUUCAUCAUGACAGGUUUGGUGCCAGCUAGCUUCUGUCUCUUGUUUUCAACUUUGGGCCAAUAAAAGAGGAAGCCGAGCCUUUGGUUUGGCUGUCCCCUUGGCAGACUGGCAGGUAGUGGAUCGGAUUUUGUUCCAGAGGUUAACUGUAUGACCUCAUUCCUGGCACUGCCUCUGGAGCCAGGAAUGCUCAGAGUCAGACUCUGGCAGGACUGACUACCCGAGUUCUCCUGUGACAUCUCUCAGUCUCUGCGGGCCUUAGAAGGGGUCAAAGGAGUGGUGCCUCCUGGGCCCAGUGCAGUAGUUGGCAGAGGACAACACAUAUCAAGUGUUCACCCUUGAAAGUGAACACACACACAUACACACACACACACACACACACACACACACACACACCCCUAUCCACAUGCAUGCCUCCUCUGCCCUCUCUUGAGUAAUGGAGAACAUAGUAAGUACAUCAUGAAUAGAAGAAAAGUAAGCCUGUGGUAUGACCCUCUGUAUGCACAGUCCCAGCUGGGUGUCCAUCAGGUUGUUUGGUACCUGUCCAUGUGGGUCAUGAAGUUUGGUGGAUGUGAAAAAAGGCACAGUUGUGAGUCUGUAUGCUCUGUUUAAGGCAGUGUUUCUCAGCCUUCCUGACACUGCGAUCCUUCAAUCCAGUUUCUUGUGUUGUGCUGACCCCCAACCAUGAAAUCAUUUCUGCUGCUACUUCAUAGUUGUAAUUUUGUGACGGAUAUGAAUCAUAAUGUAAAUAUCUGUGUUUUCUGAUGGUCUUAGGUGACCCCCGUUAAAGGGUUGUUUCACACCCCCCCCAAAGGGGUCACAACUCACAGGUUGAGAAACACUGGUUUAAGGGAUCCAGAUGUCCAACGUCUCCAAUUCAGGAAGGCUGUUCUGUCACUCCUGUAACAAUGACUCUAGGCUGCAGGUACCAUCAAGGCAUGGCCAGGAAGUCAGGGCCAGCAAGGUGCCAGCUUUCAAUUCUCUGCUUGUACAGGGAGCCCGAGAAGCCACAGUUGGCACUUACUGCAAAGGUGGAGUUACCUAGGGUCAAAGUCAGAGAAAGGCGGAAAUCUGGGACACAGUACUGGGAGGGUCCCAUGAUGAGACUAAGUGAACAUUUGUUUAGUGUCUCUAGUAUGUGCCAGGCACUGGGCCAGAUGACUUACAUACAUUAAACAAUUUAACUCCAGGACAACCCUGGGACUGGGGCAUUCUGUUAUCUUAAUUACACAAGUUCUGAUGGGCCUAGCAAUGUGCCUUUGAGCCCACAGUGUAGUGUGGGUUCUUUCAUUGCUCAGGUCUCCCCUAAACCAUCACCUUUUCAAACAGACCUUCUGGGUGCUGUUUCUAGCCCAGCACCCCUUUAUUCUUUUACUUUGCAUGAUUUUUUUCCAUGGUCCUCUAAUCUUCACAUAUAUGCCAUGGCAUGAGAAUACCACAUACAUAUAUCACAUGCACAUACAGAUUGAAAGGAAGAAAAAAAAGCAAAAGAAAAAUAGUCUCUCCUAUUGUCACUCACCACCCUUCUUAGAUAUAGUAUGAGAAAUGAGACUUGUCAUGAGCCACAGACUCACCCAUGAUUACAAGCCUAUAGCUAUGGAGUGAGAUUGGGACUCACAGCAAACUUCCCAUUGCAUAACUUUCAUAGCUCUCAAAGUAUGGCAGGUGUUUGAAGAGGGCUCAUUGUAGCUGGGUAGAAAGCACUUUAAACCUAUUCCUUAGUUGUGUAAUCCACACAUAUCAUAUCUGCUCCUUUGCUGGAGAAAAAUGUA